rnacentral:rRNA from 1 species
AGCGUACACGGUGGAUGCCCUGGCAGUCAGAGGCGAUGAAGGACGUGCUAAUCUGCGAUAAGCGUCGGUAAGGUGAUAUGAACCGUUAUAACCGGCGAUUUCCGAAUGGGGAAACCCAGUGUGUUUCGACACACUAUCAUUAACUGAAUCCAUAGGUUAAUGAGGCGAACCGGGGGAACUGAAACAUCUAAGUACCCCGAGGAAAAGAAAUCAACCGAGAUUCCCCCAGUAGCGGCGAGCGAACGGGGAGCAGCCCAGAGCCUGAAUCAGUGUGUGUGUUAGUGGAAGCGUCUGGAAAGGCGCGCGAUACAGGGUGACAGCCCCGUACACAAAAAUGCACAUGCUGUGAGCUCGAUGAGUAGGGCGGGACACGUGGUAUCCUGUCUGAAUAUGGGGGGACCAUCCUCCAAGGCUAAAUACUCCUGACUGACCGAUAGUGAACCAGUACCGUGAGGGAAAGGCGAAAAGAACCCCGGCGAGGGGAGUGAAAAAGAACCUGAAACCGUGUACGUACAAGCAGUGGGAGCCUCUUUUAUGGGGUGACUGCGUACCUUUUGUAUAAUGGGUCAGCGACUUAUAUUCUGUAGCAAGGUUAACCGAAUAGGGGAGCCGAAGGGAAACCGAGUCUUAACUGGGCGUUAAGUUGCAGGGUAUAGACCCGAAACCCGGUGAUCUAGCCAUGGGCAGGUUGAAGGUUGGGUAACACUAACUGGAGGACCGAACCGACUAAUGUUGAAAAAUUAGCGGAUGACUUGUGGCUGGGGUGAAAGGCCAAUCAAACCGGGAGAUAGCUGGUUCUCCCCGAAAGCUAUUUAGGUAGCGCCUCGUGAAUUCAUCUCCGGGGGUAGAGCACUGUUUCGGCAAGGGGGUCAUCCCGACUUACCAACCCGAUGCAAACUGCGAAUACCGGAGAAUGUUAUCACGGGAGACACACGGCGGGUGCUAACGUCCGUCGUGAAGAGGGAAACAACCCAGACCGCCAGCUAAGGUCCCAAAGUCAUGGUUAAGUGGGAAACGAUGUGGGAAGGCCCAGACAGCCAGGAUGUUGGCUUAGAAGCAGCCAUCAUUUAAAGAAAGCGUAAUAGCUCACUGGUCGAGUCGGCCUGCGCGGAAGAUGUAACGGGGCUAAACCAUGCACCGAAGCUGCGGCAGCGACGCUGAUGCGUUGUUGGGUAGGGGAGCGUUCUGUAAGCCUGUGAAGGUGUGCUGUGAGGCAUGCUGGAGGUAUCAGAAGUGCGAAUGCUGACAUAAGUAACGAUAAAGCGGGUGAAAAGCCCGCUCGCCGGAAGACCAAGGGUUCCUGUCCAACGUUAAUCGGGGCAGGGUGAGUCGACCCCUAAGGCGAGGCCGAAAGGCGUAGUCGAUGGGAAACAGGUUAAUAUUCCUGUACUUGGUGUUACUGCGAAGGGGGGACGGAGAAGGCUAUGUUGGCCGGGCGACGGUUGUCCCGGUUUAAGCGUGUAGGCUGGUUUUCCAGGCAAAUCCGGAAAAUCAAGGCUGAGGCGUGAUGACGAGGCACUACGGUGCUGAAGCAACAAAUGCCCUGCUUCCAGGAAAAGCCUCUAAGCAUCAGGUAACAUCAAAUCGUACCCCAAACCGACACAGGUGGUCAGGUAGAGAAUACCAAGGCGCUUGAGAGAACUCGGGUGAAGGAACUAGGCAAAAUGGUGCCGUAACUUCGGGAGAAGGCACGCUGAUAUGUAGGUGAAGUCCCUGCGGAUGGAGCUGAAAUCAGUCGAAGAUACCAGCUGGCUGCAACUGUUUAUUAAAAACACAGCACUGUGCAAACACGGAAGUGGACGUAUACGGUGUGACGCCUGCCCGGUGCCGGAAGGUUAAUUGAUGGGGUCAGCGCAAGCGAAGCUCUUGAUCGAAGCCCCGGUAAACGGCGGCCGUAACUAUAACGGUCCUAAGGUAGCGAAAUUCCUUGUCGGGUAAGUUCCGACCUGCACGAAUGGCGUAAUGAUGGCCAGGCUGUCUCCACCCGAGACUCAGUGAAAUUGAACUCGCUGUGAAGAUGCAGUGUACCCGCGGCAAGACGGAAAGACCCCGUGAACCUUUACUAUAGCUUGACACUGAACAUUGAGCCUUGAUGUGUAGGAUAGGUGGGAGGCUUAGAAGUGUGGACGCCAGUCUGCAUGGAGCCGACCUUGAAAUACCACCCUUUAAUGUUUGAUGUUCUAACGUUGACCCGUAAUCCGGGUUGCGGACAGUGUCUGGUGGGUAGUUUGACUGGGGCGGUCUCCUCCUAAAGAGUAACGGAGGAGCACGAAGGUUGGCUAAUCCUGGUCGGACAUCAGGAGGUUAGUGCAAUGGCAUAAGCCAGCUUGACUGCGAGCGUGACGGCGCGAGCAGGUGCGAAAGCAGGUCAUAGUGAUCCGGUGGUUCUGAAUGGAAGGGCCAUCGCUCAACGGAUAAAAGGUACUCCGGGGAUAACAGGCUGAUACCGCCCAAGAGUUCAUAUCGACGGCGGUGUUUGGCACCUCGAUGUCGGCUCAUCACAUCCUGGGGCUGAAGUAGGUCCCAAGGGUAUGGCUGUUCGCCAUUUAAAGUGGUACGCGAGCUGGGUUUAGAACGUCGUGAGACAGUUCGGUCCCUAUCUGCCGUGGGCGCUGGAGAACUGAGGGGGGCUGCUCCUAGUACGAGAGGACCGGAGUGGACGCAUCACUGGUGUUCGGGUUGUCAUGCCAAUGGCACUGCCCGGUAGCUAAAUGCGGAAGAGAUAAGUGCUGAAAGCAUCUAAGCACGAAACUUGCCCCGAGAUGAGUUCUCCCUGACUCC